CGGGGCAGGAGGGACGCGCGCGGCUGAGGCGAGGUGGCUCAGCGCAGCUGUUGCGGGGCCAUGGCGGGGACGGCGCUCAAGAGGCUGAUGGCCGAGUACAAACCCUUGAGAACGUGCAGUGAGAGCUUGAGGAAGAAGGCCUGACUUGCUGCUGCGGAAUUAGGAAGGAAAAGUGUAUGCGUUAAAAGGGGAAAGGCUCGUUGGUGGAGCUUUGAAAGGUCAGAUUUUGGCUUUCCCUCUAAUGAAGGAAAAGGGUUUUUGAACAGUGCCACCUGUCACUCCUCCUAGGUAGUGUUGAGAAAACCUCUUGAGUGCUUUCCUACCCGGUAAAUUAGAUAUUUCUAAUGUCUGAGGAGAGCGAAGGGAGAAAUGAGAACCUAGGAACACUCGGCAUUCCAUCGUUUUACACCGAAUGCCCGCUUGGAAGAACUGCUGCGAGAAGUCUUGGAAUGCUAUUGUGUUGAAAGCGCCAGGAACCUGACUCGCCGGUGGAGACAAGAUAGUAGCCGGCUAAGAGCAGGGCCUGAGUUCAGACCCGGCCUCUCUGCUUGUUAACUCUUUGACCUUGUUCCUCUCUCUGUCUCAGCAGUUACCUUAUCUUAAAAGGUUAAACUUGAUACUGCAGGUGAAGUGCUUAGCAAAAUACCUGCUGUGUAACUCUUAAUAAAGUUAGCCGCUGCUUUUGUAAUUAGAUUGAGGGUAAUUUUGGAAGAAAGUUAAGCUAAAAGAAUGAAUGUGAUAAAAAAAAAAGUGGUGAAUAUACAUGUAGCUUGAUUUCGUAAAACUAUUGGUGACACCGCACAGUGAGAGUUGAUGUUUGGCUUAAGCAGACCAAAACAUUGCAAAUACAGGCUCACUCACGUAUGGUCAUUCUUCCCUUGGUAUCUGGAGGGAAUUGGUUCCAGGCCCCCCUGCAGAUACCAGAAUCCUCGAAUGCUCAAGUCCCUACUAUAAAGUGGCGUGGUAUUGCAUUUAAUGUAUGCAUAUCGUCUCAUAACUUUUAAAUCAUCUCAAGGUUACUUAUAGUACCUAAUGCAAUGUAAAUGCUGCGCAAAUAGUUACACUGAUUUUUUUUUACUUGUAUUUUUAAAUCGUCAUUUUUUAUUGUUAUUUUUUUCAAAUAUUUUGUAUUCCUGGUUGGUCGAAUCCAUGGAUAUGCAGCCGCAGAUACACAGGGCCUCCUGUAAACGUUCAAAUAACGCUCGCCACCUAGUGUCUGCUAAAGCAGAACAUAGAGGCACACCUCACUUUCCCGCACGCUUUGCUUUAUUGAGCUUCACUUCGCAGAUCUUGCAUUUUUUACAAGUUUACAGGUUUUUUACAAGCAACCCUGCAUGGGAGCAAGUCUGUUGGCACCAUUUUUGCUUGCUUCGUGUCUCUGUCACAUUUUAAUCUAUUACUGUGAUCUGUGAUCAGUAAUCUUUGAUGUUACUAUUGUAAUUAUUUUGGGGCAUCACGAACUAUGCCCGUAAAAGAUGGUAGUCCGAAUAAAUGUUGUGUGUGCUUCAC
rnacentral:sRNA from 1 species